GUCUGGGGGAGGGGUUUAUUGUCCUGUAAAUGCUGAUGCCUCCUCCAGGGGGAGCUGCUGGUUACAUUGGACAUUGGAAACCAUAGAGAACCUAAUAUGGAGUAAUCCUCUGACAGGGCGACCUCGAUGGAUGGCGGUGUGGGCGGACUCCUGGGGGGUUGGGAGGCUUCAUUGUUGCUCUCACACAGCAAGCCCUAUGACAGCCACUGAGACCUGAUAUGUAUGCUCUUACUGCAUUAUUUUGCCUUCCUGGCUGUGUAUUGAAAUAUGCCUCUCCAUCCUUAUUUCUAUGUUACCUUUUGACAUGAUGUUGUAUGUUGACCAUUGUU